rnacentral:rRNA from 1 species
AUUGAACGCUGGCGGCAUGCUUUACACAUGCAAGUCGAACGGCAGCGCGGGCUUCGGCCUGGCGGCGAGUGGCGAACGGGUGAGUAAUACAUCGGAACGUGCCCAGUAGGGGGGGAUAGCUCGGCGAAAGCCGGAUUAAUACCGCAUACGACCUGAGGGUGAAAGCGGGGGAGCUUCGGACAUCGCGCUAUUGGAGCGGCCGAUGGCAGAUUAGCUAGUUGGUGGGGUAAAGGCCUACCAAGGAGACGAUCUGUAGCUGGUCUGAGAGGACGACCAGCCACACUGGGACUGAGACACGGCCCAGACUCCUACGGGAGGCAGCAGUGGGGAAUUUUGGACAAUGGGCGAAAGCCUGAUCCAGCAAUGCCGCGUGUGUGAUGAAGGCCUUCGGGUUGUAAAGCACUUUUGGCGGGAACGAAAAGGACUGUGCCAAUACCACGGUUCGAUGACGGUACCCGCAGAAUAAGCACCGGCUAACUACGUG